rnacentral:rRNA from 1 species
ACACUCCUGCGGGAGGCAGCAGUGGGGAAUUUUGGACAAUGGGCGAAAGCCUGAUCCAGCCAUGCCGCGUGCAGGAUGAAGGCCUUCGGGUUGUAAACUGCUUUUGUACGGAACAAAACGGCCUUUUCUAAUAAAGAGGGCUAAUGACGGUACCGUAAGAAUAAGCACCGGCUAACUACGUGCCAGCAGCCGCGGUAAUACGUAGGGUGCAAGCGUUAAUCGGAAUUACUGGGCGUAAAGCGUGCGCAGGCGGUUAUGUAAGACAGUUGUGAAAUCCCCGGGCUCAACCUGGGAACUGCAUCUGUGACUGCAUAGCUAGAGUACGGUAGAGGGGGAUGGAAUUCCGCGUGUAGCAGUGAAAUGCGUAGAUAUGCGGAGGAACACCGAUGGCGAAGGCAAUCCCCUGGACCUGUACUGACGCUCAUGCACGAAAGCGUGGGGAGCAAACAGGAUUAGAAACCCUAGUAGUCCCAUG